GGGGGCGUACUGGUUUCGACGGGAUUGUUGAAGCUAAAGUAGCGGGUAGAGGAUUCUCGUUGGCCUCUUUAAAAAACGAGAGUUAAAAAUAAACGCUAACAACGAUAAUUACGCUUUAGCUGCUGCCUAAUAACAGGCAGCCCGUCAGCCCUGGGUUGCUGCACCUGGGGGCACUGGCGUCAUAAAGUCAGCCCUUCGGCGCGGGAAGGUCAAACGCCGGAACUGCUGCUGUGGUAGCCUUGAGCAGCAGCGGAAUUUAAAGGCUACUGAAAAUGGUACCCUGCCUGUAGGGGACCAUCGUAGGGAAUGAAAAAAUACAGGCUACACCCGUAGAAGCUUUUGUGGAUACAGUUUCGGACAGGGGUUCAACUCCCCUCGCCUCCACCA
rnacentral:tmRNA from 1 species